GGGUUAUGAGUUUGGUAUCAGUAAUUGUUCUAUAUCUUGUGAAAUGUAAAUGGAUUUUUUCACAAUCUAUCUUGCCCAUGCUUAUAUGCCCCCUAUUUGUGAACGGUGUAAAUUACUCGUUUUUCUUUUUUCACCUAGAAAAACCAUCUUAUGAUGAAAUCUCAACAAGUCCUCUAAUCUAUUUUUCAAAGAAUUGAAUGAAACUAGUGAAUAAUUUGAAACAUCUUUUAAGUUGAAAUGAUAUAUAGGAAAAGGAUAGAUAUGAACAAUGCAAUUCUUUAUUAUCAAGCAUUAAAUUUGUUUUACUAGUGAUACAUUUCAUUGUUAUAUUGGUUCAUUCUUCCUUACAGGAACAAUCAAAAGCUAACAUAUUUGUCUUACUAAUGAUACAUUUCAUUAUUAUAUUGGUCAUUCUUUCUUAUAGGAGCAAUCAAAGGGUAACAUCGCGAACAGAGAAAGGAUGUAUACAAAACACAGGUGUGGUUCUAGGUCAAUCCCUGUUAGAGUAGAAAAACUGAUUGGAUUGGGGUGGCAUUUUUGACGUGGAGCAAUGAUGUAAUUUGCUUGAAUGUUCAUUUUUGUUUGAUAAGGAUACACAUACUUUGUGGAGUUGCACUAGUAAUUGUUGGAUUUUUGGUAAAAUUGAACAAGUUAUAACUUUUGGAUAUUUUGUGGAUAUUUCACUAUUUUAUUGUAUUAGGACGAAAUUAUUUGUGAUGAUGAAUGGAUAUUUUCAUUUUGUUAAUU